GACGAACGCUGGCGGCGUGCUUAACACAUGCAAGUCGAACGGAAAGGCCCUGCUUUUGUGGGGUGCUCGAGUGGCGAACGGGUGAGUAACACGUGAGUAACCUGCCCUUGACUUUGGGAUAACUUCAGGAAACUGGGGCUAAUACCGGAUAGGAGCUCCUGCUGCAUGGUGGGGGUUGGAAAGUUUCGGCGGUUGGGGAUGGACUCGCGGCUUAUCAGCUUGUUGGUGGGGUAGUGGCUUACCAAGGCUUUGACGGGUAGCCGGCCUGAGAGGGUGACCGGCCACAUUGGGACUGGGGUACGGCCCCGACUCCUACGGGAGGCAGGAGUGGGGAAUAUUGCACAAUGGGCCGAAGCCUGAUGCAGCAACGCCGCGUGCGGGAUGACGGCCUUCGGGUUGUAAACCGCUUUCGCCUGUGACGAAGCGUGAGUGACGGUAAUGGGUAAAGAAGCACCGGCUAACUACGU
rnacentral:rRNA from 1 species